rnacentral:rRNA from 1 species
GGUGCGUAGGCGGCUUUUUAAGUCAGUGGUGAAAUCCUGCCGCUUAACGGUAGAAUUGCCAUUGAUACUGAAGAGCUUGAGUUCAGUUGAGGUAAGCGGAAUGUGUAGUGUAGCGGUGAAAUGCUUAGAUAUUACACAGAACACCAAUUGCGAAGGCAGCUUACUAAACUGACACUGACGCUGAUGCACGAAAGCGUGGGGAGCGAACAGGAUUAGAUACCCUGGUAGUCCACGCCGUAAACGAUGUUCACUCGCUGUUUGCGAUACACAGCAAGCGGCCAAGCGAAAGCAUUAAGUGAACCACCUGGGGAGUACGAUCGCAAGGUUGAAACUCAAAGGAAUUGACGGGGGCCCGCACAAGCGGAGGAACAUGUGGUUUAAUUCGAUGAUACGCGAGGAACCUUACCUGGGCUUAAAUGUAGAACGACAGAUUGUGAAAGCAGUCCUUCUUCGGACGUUUUACAAGGUGCUGCAUGGUUGUCGUCAGCUCGUGCCGUGAGGUGUCGGGUUAAGUCCCAUAACGAGCGCAACCCUUAUCGUUAGUUGCCAGCGGGUCAAGCCGGGGACUCUAGCGAGACUGCCACCGUAAGGUGUGAGGAAGGUGGGGAUGACGUCAAAUCAGCACGGCCCUUAUGUCCAGGGCUACACACGUGUUACAAUGGCCGGUACAAAGGGCAGCUACUUCGCGAGAAGAUGCUAAUCUCGAAAGCCGGUCUCAGUUCGGAUCGAAGUCUGCAACCCGACUUCGUGAAGCUGGAUUCGCUAGUAAUCGCAUAUCAGCCAUGAUGCGGUGAAUACGUUCCCGGGCCUUGUACACACCGCCCGUCAAACAAUGGAAGCUGGGGGUAUCUGAAGUCUGUAACCGAAAGGAGCGGC